CUUUUAAAGUUUUUCUGCUAAAGUAUUGAAUUGUUUCUUUGUGUUUUCUUUAAGACUCAUUGAAUGUCUUUAAAACAGCUACUUUAAGGAGCUCUCUGAGAAUUCUCCCAUACUGAUUACUAUCUAUUCAAAUUCUGGCACCCUAUUUUGACUUUUUUUUUGAAGUCAUGGUUUCCUGGAAGCAAUUGAAGCUUGUUGGCAUAUGAUAUCAAGUGGGCAUUGAAGGAUUAAUAUUUCAGUCUUUAUAAUCUAGCUUUUUUUGUUUUUUGUUUUUUGUGCCCGCAUGUCCAGAAAUUCUAAGCAGGCUACUUAUUUUCUCUGAGCCUGUAUUCACUUGCAUUAUUUUAGCACUGGAUAGCACCCAGAUCCAAUUUUACUGGGAACCUACUGUUGGUUCAGUUGGUUCUAUUUCAGCACUAGAGGGUGAUCCAAACCCAGGUUUUUCCCUUCACAGCUGGUGUGCUGUUCAGAAGGAACUAAUGGAGUACCUGAGAAGAGUAUUCCAUGCCCAUAGACAUUUCCCUGGGACAGAAGUAGACCCACAGGCCUUAUCCAGAGUCACUGGCCUGUUCUCAUAUACUAUGGGAUUCUUCCAAGCUCUGGGUAGAAUCCUUGUGGAUAGACCAUCUCCAGUGUCAUUUAACUGUGUCAUAUACAUCUCACAGUCCACCAAGAUCAGCACAUCACUGGGGAAGGAUCAAGACCCACACUGCUAUGGGGUGCCUAUUGCUUGGGUUUGGGGACAAAGACCACUGCAACCAGCCACAAAUAAUAGUGGCUGGAAUAGAAACUUGAGAGACUGGAGCCAUAGAUCUUCUGUUGGCACCAGGGCUAUUCAGAGGCCCCAUCUGUAGGUAGGCCUUGUUUCCUUAGCUCCUGUGGAGGUGGUUUGGUAAACGUAUAACUGUCUAACCUGGUGUGUCUAGGGGACCUGAUAUCUGGAGGAUUUUUUUCUUGAUAUCUAGUUCUGCUCCUGGAAAUUUUAAAAAAAAAUUGUUUUCUAAUUGCUGCUUGUUUAUAAAAAAUGCAAUUAAUUUU
rnacentral:lncRNA from 1 species